rnacentral:rRNA from 1 species
GACGAACGCUGGCGGCGUGCUUAACACAUGCAAGUCGAACGGAAAGGCCCUGCUUUUGUGGGGUGCUCGAGUGGCGAACGGGUGAGUAACACGUGAGUAACCUGCCCUUGACUUUGGGAUAACUUCAGGAAACUGGGGCUAAUACCGGAUAGGAGCUCCUGCUGCAUGGUGGGGGUUGGAAAGUUUCGGCGGUUGGGGAUGGACUCGCGGCUUAUCAGCUUGUUGGUGGGGUAGUGGCUUACCAAGGCUUUGACGGGUAGCCGGCCUGAGAGGGUGACCGGCACAAUGGGACUGAGAUACGGCCCAGACUCCUACGGGAGGCAGCAGUGGGGAAUAUUGCACAAUGGGCGGAAGCCUGAUGCAGCAACGCCGCGUGCGGGAUGACGGCCUUCGGGUUGUAAACCGCUUUCGCCUGUGACGAAGCGUGAGUGACGGUAAUGGGUAAAGAAGCACCGGCUAACUACGUG